rnacentral:rRNA from 1 species
UUGGGCGUAAGAGCUCGUAGGCGGUUUGUCGCGUCUGCUGUGAAAGACCGGGGCUCAACUCCGGUUCUGCAGUGGGUACGGGCAGACUAGAGUGCAGUAGGGGAGACUGGAAUUCCUGGUGUAGCGGUGAAAUGCGCAGAUAUCAGGAGGAACACCGAUGGCGAAGGCAGGUCUCUGGGCUGUAACUGACGCUGAGGAGCGAAAGCAUGGGGAGCGAACAGGAUUAGAUACCCUGGUAGUCCAUGCCGUAAACGUUGGGCACUAGGUGUGGGGGACAUUCCACGUUUUCCGCGCCGUAGCUAACGCAUUAAGUGCCCCGCCUGGGGAGUACGGCCGCAAGGCUAAAACUCAAAGGAAUUGACGGGGGCCCGCACAAGCGGCGGAGCAUGCGGAUUAAUUCGAUGCAACGCGAAGAACCUUACCAAGGCUUGACAUGAACCGGAAAGACCUGGAAACAGGUGCCCCGCUUGCGGUCGGUUUACAGGUGGUGCAUGGUUGUCGUCAGCUCGUGUCGUGAGAUGUUGGGUUAAGUCCCGCAACGAGCGCAACCCUCGUUCUAUGUUGCCAGCGCGUUAUGGCGGGGACUCAUAGGAGACUGCCGGGGUCAACUCGGAGGAAGGUGGGGACGACGUCAAAUCAUCAUGCCCCUUAUGUCUUGGGCUUCACGCAUGCUACAAUGGCCGGUACAAAGGGUUGCGAUACUGUGAGGUGGAGCUAAUCCCAAAAAGCCGGUCUCAGUUCGGAUUGGGGUCUGCAACUCGACCCCAUGAAGUCGGAGUCGCUAGUAAUCGCAGAUCAGCAACGCUGCGGUGAAUACGUUCCCGGGCCUUGUACACACCGCCCGUCAAGUCACGAAAGUUGGUAACACCCGAAGCCGGUGGCCUAACCCUUGUGGGGGGAGCCGUCGAAGUGGGACCGGCGAUUGGGAC